rnacentral:rRNA from 1 species
UACGUAGGUGGCGAGCGUUAUCCGGAAUUAUUGGGCGUAAAGAGCGCGCAGGUGGUUAGUUAAGUCUGAUGUGAAAGCCCACGGCUUAACCGUGGAGGGUCAUUGGAAACUGGUUGACUUGAGUGCAGAAGAGGGAAGUGGAAUUCCAUGUGUAGCGGUGAAAUGCGUAGAGAUAUGGAGGAACACCAGUGGCGAAGGCGGCUUCCUGGUCUGCAACUGACACUGAGGCGCGAAAGCGUGGGGAGCAAACAGG